GUAGACAUUUAUUUUUGUAAAACAUAUUUUGAUUGGAUUUGUUUGUUUAAUUUGAUUCGGUUGACUGAAUGUGUUAUCUACAUAUUCUUUUGGUAUGUUCUUUUGGGGAAGAUAAUCGAAAAAGGGUCCCAUUCGAAAAAGAUAUUCGAAAAAGGUUGGGUAUUAACAUAUACGGUAUAUAAUCUAUGCGUGUCAAUCAGGAUGGAUGGGGUCAAAACGGCAAAGUUCAACGGCAAACACUUGCUUCGGAACAUUUAUGUCUAGACUAGUUUGGAUGUAAGCACAAGUUAAAGGCUUAUCUCCGACCAUGGGAACUGCAACACCGCAGGCAAUGAGGCGAUCAGGUUGGGUUGUACAUAUUAUAUUCCAUCAAAACCGGUGUUCCAAAAAAAAAAAAAAAAAAAUAUUCCAUCAAAACCGAACUAGCGCAAGACCACCUGACACAUUGUAAUUUGCAAAUAUGAACAAUGGCUUAGAAGAUAUAUAUAUAUAACUAAACAGGUAUCAGGUUAAAUAGAUAUGUAAAAUCUGGUUAAAUAGAAAUUCAAUUUUGUGAUAGAAUCUAACAAAUAAUUGGGAAUUAUGUUCCCGAUCAUCAGAGUUGCAACAACGAACGCCGUCAAUUUCGCCGGUAUAUUCUGCAAAAUCAGUCCUUGAAUUAAAUGACAAAAACUCAUGAAGUGAUACUUUCGAACAAGAACAUGCACGAUUCAACCAAAAAACUGAAAUUAAAGUUUUAAGUUUUCAAAGACAGAACUGAGUUUGACACUCGAGUAACAUUCAUGAAAAGAUAUAUCUAAGUUAUGUUGCGCAGAUGUUCAUCCAAGACAUAACUACAACUUCAGAACACGAAGAACAACAAAUCUGAAAGAAAAAUUAUCCUAAGAAUUUGGACAAUUUUUCGAUUUGUGUGUCUUCUUUGCGCAGGGGCCAUGCUAAUCGUCUCUGUAUAGUUUCAAUUUUAUUCGGAUGUUUCCGAAAGGACAAUUAUUGUGUUGACUCUAACCGUAUCUGAACACUGGUUUCUAUGCUAUGAUAAAUGAUGUGCGAAGAAGAUAACUAAAAGUUGGGCCUCUUUAGGCCAUAAAAUAUAGAGCUAAUUGGGUGAAAAACAUAAGAAGAAGCGGAAAUUAUGUAAGUGCCAUAGGAGAAAAAGUUUGGCUUACAUGGCGUACUAAGAGCAUCCACAAUGGUGACAGACAAAACUACCUCUGACCCUUGGCGACUCGACUUCCAGGUAUUAGGGUCCUAUGCCUACUCUGACAUUUGAGAUUUACUAAGAUUUAGCUAUAUCGUAGAAAGAAUUGGUUUUGAUAUUAUGAUAUUGCCUCGGUAACCGAUU
rnacentral:lncRNA from 1 species